rnacentral:rRNA from 1 species
UCGAGAAUAAUUCACAAUGGGGGCAACCCUGAUGGUGCAACGCCGCGUGGAGGAUGACGGUCUUCGGAUUGUAAACUCCUGUCAUCCGGGAGUAAGACCUGGGGGUUAACAGCUCACAGGGUUGAUAGUACCGGAAGAGGAAGGGACGGCUAACUUCGUGCCAGCAGCCGCGGUAAUACGAAGGUCCCGAGCGUUGUUCGGAAUCACUGGGCGUAAAGGGAGCGUAGGCGGCGUGGUAAGUCAGAUGUGAAAUCCCGGGGCUCAACCCCGGAACUGCAUCCGAUACUGCCGUGCUUAGAGGGUUGGAGAGGUAGCUGGAAUUCUUGGUGUAGCAGUGAAAUGCGUGGAUAUCAAGAGGAACACUCGUGGCGAAAGCGAGCUACUGGACAACACCUGACGCUGAGGCUCGAAGGCCAGGGUAGCGAAAG